rnacentral:pre_miRNA from 1 species
AGUCAUGCUUUUCCACAGCUUUCUUGAACUUCUUCUAGCUGAAUUUUGAUCUCUCUUUAGGCAAUUGUGGAUAGUUUUAAUUUGAGAGAUGAGAUUUAAAGCUCUGAAAGUCCAAGAAAGCUGUGGGAAAAUAUGGCAAU